GACGUAGGGCGCGAGCGUUGUCCGGAUUUAUUGGGCGUAAAGAGCUCGUAGGCGGCUUGUUGCGUCAGCUGUGAAAACCCGCAGCUCAACUGUGGGCUUGCAGCUGAUACGGGCAGGCUUGAGUUCGGUAGGGGAGACUGGAAUUCCUGGUGUAGCGGUGAAAUGCGCAGAUAUCAGGAGGAACACCGGUGGCGAAGGCGAGUCCCUGGACAACUUCUGACGCUGAGGCACGAAAGCUAGGGGAGCAAACAGG
rnacentral:rRNA from 1 species